CCCAAAUUAUGUAUCGUCUAGAGACCCUGAAGAAAUGAAAGCUAUCGUACUAUGUUGCCUACUAGUGAGAGCCACAGAAUAAAAAAAAAAAAAAAAAUUUGAUUAGAGAAAGAGAGAGAGAGAGAGUAGUGGGUUUCAUAUUAGGCUGUCAGACAUUACGGUCCCGUGGUGAACUACCUGUCGUCUUCCGCUGGGGGCGUGUCUCCAGGAGCGCUCGUCAGAGGAGCGGGAGCCCGGCUGUCACUCAAAGUGGACUUGUUGAUUCCGCCGCAUCAUCUGCCCUAUUCGGAGUGACGCCGUCGAUCGGUCGAGAAUCAAGGAAAAGAAAAUGACAGAGAUUAGCAGCUCGGAAGAUGACCUGGACUUGCCUUUCGAGGAGUCGAUGAUUGGUCAGCUGAAUUCCCUGGAAAAGUAUGCAAGUGAGGAAUUUCAGAAAUUAAAAGAAAGUAACAAAAGCCUCCGUGAAUCACUAGAUCACCAGAUGAUCAGUGACAUGGCUGCACUUAAGACCGAGCUCAGCGCCUUAAAAUCACGCGUAGCAGAGCAAGGCCAAGAGAUAGAGGAGCUGAGAAAGCAGCUGGAAGGAAAGGGCAGCGGUGCUCCUGCACACUCAGGAGGCCAGAAGAGACCAGCUUCCUCGGCCGAGUGUGCUCCUGAACGGAAGCAGAGACGGUCCGAAGAGCUGGACGAGAUCCUGGAGCCAUUCUGGCCAGAGAGAUCAGAUGCACGGGAGAGGCUGACUGAAAGGCAGCAGGCCUUCUUCAACUAUAUGAUGGACGUGCUGAAAAUCAAAGAUCGGAGAAACCUGGAGACGAACGCGACGACGGUCCUCAACGAAGGGGUUUCCAGGGGCCUCUGGGAGGAGGACUGGACUCCUGCAGAAAUUAAAGGGACAUUCCAGCAAUACCUUGUAGGAAAAAUAAAAAAAUAUGUGACAGAGAGACAAAAGAAACUCUUCCAGGAGAGAGAGCUAGAUAGGCUCAGAAAAAUGGUUGGCUAGGAAGAAGAGGGUCUGUUCAGUUGGCUUUAUUUUUAAGUUUUUGUGCAUGUUGUUUAUUGUGUUCAUUGUAGAGUUUUCAAGUCUAAAAAGCGUCACAGCAUAGUAGUAUAGCACCACACAACACAACGAUACACAGUUAUAGCCACAUUCUCUAUAUAUUUAUGUGUAAGUUUAUUUUAUUAAUUUUAUUUACCUGUGACAUUUUAUUUUAUUGUUGAUGUUCCUUCCAGUCUGUUUUGGUCAUUUCUUUUAAACAUUAAACAGUUUUUGUAUCAAUAUCUGUGUCAAACUGUGUGCGUGUUUUCCCCCAAAUUGCACUACUGUUCAAUAAUUCGUGCCAUAUACAUAUAGUU
rnacentral:lncRNA from 1 species